GAACCAAAUGACCUGAGAAGGACAGUCAGAGAAGCUCUCAACACACACAGGCCUGCCAGGAACUAUAUCAACUAUGGCAGCAUCAACAGAUUUCAAGAAUUCAGAGUCCGCUUUCAGUUUCCUCCCAGAAGACCAAUCAAUCUUCUCCUUUGGCUCAGCAAACUUGUAAGCAAUGUGAACUGUGUAACAAUUCAGCACAGGUGUACAGCCAGCACUAAUUUGGCCUGGAUGACUAAAGAGAAUAAUCUGCAUUGCGAAGCCAGCUGCUUGCACUGCAGUUUUACAGGACAUCAGUAGAAAUGGAAAAUUUGGCAGUCUAUGAAAAUGAGCAUUUACCUGAGGAAGUUACUCCCAUUUGAGGGAUGAGUUGCUCCUCCCUACAAUUUUCACGACCAGGAACUAAUCUCUGAUAUCUUGAUGGAUGAGGGUUACCAUCAACAUCAACCAAAAAAGGAGGAGGCAUGAGAGAAGAGGAAUUUAACAACUGCUAUGUUCACUGAAACUUAAGUCUCUAGAAUACUUAAAAUAUGAUUGUUAAAGCAUAAAUGAUGCUUACCCACCCCUGAAGAAGAAAUACAACCCCUAAGCAUCCACAGAUUAAAAACAAAAACAAAGAAAAGAAGAAGAAGAAGAAGAAGAAGAAGAAGAAGAAGAAGAAUCAUCAUCAUCAUCAUCAUCAUCAUCAUCAUCAUACUCUACCUUGUCAUAUUUGCUACUGGAGCCAAAACCAAAAAUUAGAAGAUGUCCAUGAGAGUCUGUGCAUGCAAAAUGCUGACCAUCAGGAGAGCAUUUGCAGUCAAAUACUGCACCAUGUCCUUGGCCUUCAAUCUGAAAUAUAUUUAACCAACAAUCAGAAAGUUCCAUUAAUCCAGAACGAAUGGGUUUCUCCCUGCAACCUGUCAAUCAAACAGAGGUGGCCAAUCACCACUCUGAAUUUUUUUUGCUCUCAGUGCUUCUUCAGACUAUGUUCCAGUUGAAAACUUCUUUAGCAGUGUUCUGAAAGAGGUAAAAGUUCUACCCUAUCUAAAGCACAUCUAGGGACUGAAUUUCAGAAAACAACUAAAAUAGGGAGUCGACUCCCUAACAAAUAACAACUAAGGAUGAUUUUCAACAAAUGCGAUUGGAUUUCUGGAUUAGCAGAAUCGGAACACACACACAUUAUCAGGUAUCCCUAAUACCUAGGAAGUAGAUGUUUUAAAAAGUGACGAUAAACAGCAGUAUUUGAAGAAAACUUCAUACAGUGGUUAGAGACAAGUGGACAACGCUGCACAUACUUACAGUAUGGAACUCCAAUUCUGAUAUUUUCUCUGGCUGACCUGAUCCAAAAAAAUAAACCCGAAUAAUAUGAUCCGUGCUUCCUGUGGCCAGAAACAUGCCACCUGAGGAGUAGGAGCAAACAUUUACUAUGGAGAUAAUGGCAGCAAAGACCUCUCCUUCCAACAUGAAACUGGAUCUCUUACACUAUAGCUAUGUCUACUGAGAAAGGACUCCAGAGAAUUUGUCGUCCCUUGGACAAAAACUUUCAAAUACAUCUACACAAGAACUUUAGGAAUAAAUAUGUAAGGUCUU